ACGAACGCUGGCGGCAGGCCUAAAACAUGCAAGUCGAACGCUGUAGCAAUACAGAGUGGCGCACGGGUGAGUAACAUGUGGGAAUAUGCCUUUUGGUACGGAACAACAGUUGGAAACGACUGCUAAUACCGUAUGGUCCCUCCGGGGUAAAGAUUUAUCGCCAAAAGAGUAGCCCGCACUGGAUUAGCUAGUUGGUAAGGUAACGGCUUACCAAGGCGACGAUCCAUAGCUGGUCUGAGAGGACGAUCAGCCACACUGGGACUGAGACACGGCCCAGACUCCUACGGGAGGCAGCAGUUAGGAAUAUUGGACAAUGGGGGAAACCCUGAUCCAGCCAUGCCGCGUGAGUGAUGAAGGCCUUCGGGUUGUAAAGCUCUUUAGUCCACGAAUAUAAUGACUGUAGUGGAAGAAUAAGCCCCGGCUAACUUCGU
rnacentral:rRNA from 1 species